UUCACAUGUGCAGGAAACAAAGUCAGGGGAGGCCAUGGGCACAUGGAAAGGAUAAAUUCAAAACCUGAGGGUUGUGCAAAUCUGCAUAAAGAACUGUGAAAAGCAGAUCCUUGGAGAAGCAGACAUCCUGCAGAUCAAGUCACAGCAGAAGCAACACAUGGGGACACCUGCAUGGCAGCCAGGACUCUUAUUUCACUGCCUUCUGAGAGAGCCUCCAAAUUUCUCCUUAUCCCAUAAAUGACAAUGGCAGUGCAGUACACUGGAUUUUGCCAUAACAGCUCUAAGUCCAUUUUCUCUGU